AAUUAAUUUAUUAUAAUUCAUUAUUUAUUUUUACUUGCUUGAAAUAUAUAAUGAUAGAAAUUUUUACGAAAUGGAACGUUCGCCCUUCUAAGAUUUAUUCAAUUGACGCAUCGUCAUUGCAAGGAAGAUGAUCGCGCCAUCUACGAUCGUUUCCUUUCACUUCGAGUCCCGACAUUUUUGCAAGAAUCCUUUGAGCCCUCUGAGUCAUCGACAAAAUCUUCACACUGCGUAGAAAACUCGAUCCCUUCUGAACCAAGAUCAAACGGGUUUCUAUAAUUUUUUACGUCUUGUGAAUCGUGUGAUUAUUGAUCAUAAAGUUGGACUUCAUCUAUUGUUCGAAUAAUGAAUAAUAAACGAAGAAAAAAAAUUUGAAAGAUUUGUUCGUGAAUAAAUAACAAUUUUGUUUCAAGGGAAAUUAUUCGAUAUUUACGAUGAUUAACUAGAGGAAUUUUUGCUUAAGAUGUAAAUUAAAGUAAUUGGCAAUUGGAUAUAAUGCAGAGGUUUCGGUUACAAACCGUUACAAUAUGUUUAUUCCAGUCUCGAUCGAAACAAAAUUUUAUUGUCAUCGUAUGAUGUCACGAAGGGCUGACGUAAGACGCGAAACAGUCUUUGCAAAUCGUGCCACAGUGACAGUAUAAAUAAUAUUUUCUUGGAUCAAGACCUCUUUUAACUUUUCUUAAUAGAUCAUUGACCACUCGCUUGCGAAUGCAUCCAUUUAUGCGAUUAUUAAAAAGAAACAAAGUAAUUCCACGUAUGAGAAAGAUUAAAAAUGUAUAUAUUCAGAAUGAGUAGCAAAAUGUCAAUUUAAAUUAUUAAUUGAAAAUUGAUUUGUAACGCUACAAAUAGGAAUUUCAAGUUUAUCUUCGAUAUUUUGUAAAUAGACCUGUAAUUUUUCACACAGAUCCAAAAUUCAAGAAUAUAUAUUUUUCCAUCUGUAAUUUAAGAAAUUUAUUUUAAUUCAAGAAAUUUAAGAACUCAAAAAUUAGAUUAGAAAAAAUUCUUCCACAAAAGAAAACACAAAAUUCCUUGACACGGGGAAGAAGAGAGGGAAGGCUUACAUUUUCAUCGUAAUCAAUCGCUGAUGAGCUCGCCGUCAGUAAUGACGGCAGACGUGUGCGGAAGUGUUGGAUGGAAAAUGUUUGGAUAAUCGCCGCUUAAUUGGAAACACGAUAACCUUCGGGAUUAUUAGGUUCGUUUGCGGGAUCUGGCCCGAAUCAGGGAGAAGGUCUAACGGGUAGUAAAUUACUCAUUGGCCGCGAACCUUCGUUUUCGACCAGGUUUCUUUUUGGAGCGAGGAUAAUUUCUUUGGAAACGAGAAAAGAAUUGAUUUAAUUUGGAUACUCGAUCUCUGAUCGGCGGAGACACUGGAUGGACGAUGGAAUUGAAUUGCAGAAGAGAAGAGGAUAAAUUGUGUGGUAAAUUGUGUGUGAAGUUAAAUUUAUUUUUUUAUGCAACAUUUUGAAAUAAAAAAGAUUAAGUAGUAGUAUUUAAGGUAAAAUAUAAUAAAGUAAUUAAAAAGUUAAGGAUAAAUUUGGAUUUAUCAGUCAUUUUUAUUAACAAUAACUCCAACAAUUGACAAUUUAAUUGUUGACACUGUCGUUAAUAUCUGCCAAAAUAUCUUUUAAAAACAGGAAAUCCAAUAUACGAAUUUAAAAUUGCAUAAGCUAAGUUGCAUCUGCUGAUCAUUUUACGAACCCGAAUUAUUUCAUUCUUGGCACUGUUAUCAACAAUAUCUGUGUAAAUUAUAACAAAGCAACACUGAUGUUCGUAGUUGCCAAAAUAUUUGAACAAAUUAGAGUGCAACAACAAGGGGUACGUGAUAUAAAGAAGAGGUCUCAAGUUUCAGACUUGAAGCACAGACGGAGGAAGCCUGUUUUUCGAGGCAAUCGAAUCACCAAUGAACCGUAACCACCAUCCCUCGCCCUCUUCCAGAAUAGACUAUUUUAAUUCAAUAUCCUGUUAACUUCACAGUCGACUUAUUUUCACCAGUGUCGCAUGUAAUAGUAAGGGAAAGCUACACAACAUCGUCAUUGCAAAUCUUCUGAACAAAAAUCAUCAAAAAUCUAAAAAAAUUCGAGAGUUUAAAGAAAAGAACUAAUAUUAAAAUUUUACUUGUUUUAUUACGGUUUUAUUAUACAGAAUCUCACGAAGAUUGGCACAUCUGUAAUUGCGAGAGAAUUUAAUUAUUUAAUAAAAAGAAGAAUCGAAUCACUGGAACAGCUAGAGAUUUCGAAGAAGCGUGGAAUUUUUCACAGAGAACGGAAAUUGAUGAAAUAACUUUUCCACGUGAUAUGUAUCGAAUUAAAAAAAAAAAUUCGACUGCAAUUUAUUUGAUAAACAUUAGCUUUGAUAAAACACUAGAAUUGAUAAAAUUUCGAACGAUAGAGAAUAAUUCAGAGCGUGAUAUUUUUAGAGUGAAAUUCGUUUUAUUAGAAUAUAACGUAGUAUAACGUAGUAUAGAAUUCUUUGAGAGCCUUGAGAAUGGUGAAAAAAAUAAUCCUAGAUGAUCCAGAUUGUGAAAGAUAUAUUAGCAGGUGAGAAUUGGUAAAAAACGAUAUUAAUUUUAUUAAAAAUAUUUUUUCAUUUUUAAUAAUCAUUAACAAGAAGAAAAAAAGCGAAAUCUAUCGUUUUAAGCAGUUCGUUAUUAAAAUGGUUUUGUUAUUAAAUAUUCUUUUUCUUUUAAAUAUAAUCGUCGAUUCCAUGGUUCCAUGAGAAA